CUACACUGUAGUAAGAAGGAAUUUUAAAAAGAAAUGGAUUAUAAUGAUUAUAUUCACAAUAACCUCAAAAACAAAACAACAGAGAUUAAGAAAAAUAUUCUAAAUCUUUUAUUAUUCUUUAUCUUAAAGGAAUUUUUUCUCCUAAAACUCUGAGUGUGCCUUAUUGGCAGUGUAUUCUGUCAGAGACAACUGAUGCUGCCCUCUCUCCUUUGCCUUAUUAGCUGGAAAGAAAAGCAUUGAAUUAUGGGUCAUAGUUUCCUGGAAAUGUGAUUUAUGGAAAGAUUUAUGUCAUCAUUAUUCCUCUUUAACCACAACCCUAACCAAAUAACCACUUCCUAUGCUCAGGCAGCUUCUCGUUUCUACAAACAUUGUGUGUUGUUUUUCUGAGGUUCUCAAGGUAAUUUUAGAUUAAAAAUAUAUUUAUAUAUAAUGUGUAUAAAUGUGGUAUAUCUGUACAAUAAAAUGGUGCUAGACAAUAGAAAGGAAGACAUCAUCAACAUACACAACAAUAUCCAUAUACAAGAUAUGAAUAUAUACAUUCAUUCAUUCAUUCUUUGGCCAAUCCUCCAACAUAUGAAGAAGAUCAGAACAAAACUAUUCACAAGUAACAGCAUCAUAAAAGUAUAGUUUAAAAGUAUGGUCACUAUAACAGAACUUUCAACUAGACUCUGUUUUACAAGACACUUUCUGGGCAUAUGAAUCUAACAUACACUAAUUACAUUGUAGAAGAUUUCCCAAAAGAAAAGAAAGCAGGUGGUAAGUCCAUGGAAAUAAGAACAACCUGAAGUUGUGUGGUAUGGCAGUGAGAGUGGUGGAUAGCUCUGGGCCAGCCACACACAGCUGCCGUCUCCAUUCCUUAGAGGAGUGGAGCUUGAACAGUGAGAUUGCAUUAACCAGGACUGUAUAUGUAGAGGUCACACUCAAGCAGAGAUUAGAACAAUGCUAUCUGCCUGUUUAAACUAGUAGCAAUACAAGAGCCCCCUGCUAGAAGCCAGUCCCUUGAGUCUUAAGCCCCAUGCAUAUACUGGGCCUUGAAUAAGGGCACAGUAUAAUUUUUGGAACAUGAAUCCUUCAGGACCUGAGCUAUGUUAGCCAGGGCUUUACUGUCUCUGACCCCACUCAGUGGCAAAUCAGAAAAAUUUGGCAUGAUUUACUUUGCAUUACACAAUUUGCAAAAUGUACAAAUAUGCCAAAAUAGAUUAUACUGUAAUGUAUAACUAAAAAGAACAAAUAAAAAAUUUUAAAAAUUAAAACAGAAAACCAGUGAUGGCUGAUAUUUUGAGCCAAGUUGGUUUAUAAAUAUUCCUGAAUCAAGAGCGAUAUGUAAUGGUAACCUGGGCAUGAGAAUAGGUUUAUUUAUUGCAGUGGAAAUUUACCAGUGACAGAUAAUACAUCUCACUACCCACUUUGUAUAUGUUUUUUUCUAGUGCUGAAUAAAUAUAUACAUAAUACUAAGAAUUUUGCAAUGACUGGUACAGUGAAAUGCUCAUUUUUAGCACUCUUGGAUUUUCUCUCUUGCAGUUUUCUCUUAAUGCAGAAUGUUUUCUCUGAUAUAAGGAGAAUGAUUCAUAGUGAGGUAGGAAGAGGGGCAUGGGAGGAAUAGAUGAAUUCUAG
rnacentral:lncRNA from 1 species